GCCUAGAAACCUAAAUUACCACUGCCCAGCAGGCCUCUCCAAUCUCCACACGAGGCACGCCGCCGCCGUGGCCUCUCCCUCACUCCACGCCGCGUCGCCGGCGCUUCUGCUUCCUGCAUCCUGCUCCUGCCGUCCUGCGUCCUCACUCCUCAAUCCCUCUCGGCUCUCAGGCGGUCAAGCCCUUGGCCUCUCCCUCGACGCCAGCUGCGGGCCGCCCUCGACGUCGGCCGCGACGCUGCCUUCGACGACGCCCUUCCUGUAGCCGGUCGUCGUUUCCCCUCGCUGCUCUUGGAGCCGGUCGUCCCCGCCGUGAUGCCCUAUCCCAACAGCAAACAUGUCGUCACAUCUGCUCCCCAUGCUAAGCUCGCCCCUGCUCCCUAACGGCAUCACCUGCAGCAGCUGCGUUUUCUCGCUCCCUUUCCCAAUCUCGCACCAGCGCCUGUCCUCCAGCCGCCCCCAUGGCUUCCCUCACCUCUCCCGUCAGCACUAGCCCAGCUGUGGUACAGCAGCAGCAGGCUGGACCUCUGUAGUCCCGAUGAGGAGAAGACAGCUUUAGUGUGGCGCUUGUCAAGUGUUUGAUAAAAUGGCUGAACCUGGAAUCGUUGUCGUGUCCACCAUGUCAGAGUCAUUUGGGUCCAUGAGUCAUUCCACCACUUACGAAUCAAGAUCAUUGGCCCAAAGUGAAUUUUGGAUUUAUGCUACAACCAUGAGGGGUCGGGGUAGAAAGAUGGCACCAUCAAAAUGCUCUAUAUGCCAAGGUACAGGUCAUCGUUGGAGAACAUGCAAAAGAGGCCAACUUGAUGUAGAUGAUGAGCCAAAGAAUAAGAGGAGGAGAAGCAAGAAGACAUCAAGUGUUGCUGCCUCAAAUCAAUUGGAGGAUGGAACAUUGAAUGCUCUUGAAUUUAAUUAUUUACAAGUUGAUGAAUCAAAUGUAGAUGCCUCCAACAAGUUAGAGGGUUCUUGAUGCGUCAAGAGCCCAAUACGUGUUGAGUGUGUGCAUUUUAUUUUGCUCUAAAAUUGGUCCAUGAAAGGGAUGUGGCAGAAUCAAAAGCCUCGUUGGGUGUAAUGGAUUUUAUUUUGUUCCAAAACUGGUUCAUGAAAGGAAUGUUCUAAACUCUAUUUUGUUCCGAC